CUUGUUAACGGUGCACGCGCGGUGUGGGGCAGUCGCCAUGGAGACGCGUGGCCCCAUCCGGGAAGUCGGCGCCGGGAGCUAGCCUGGGAGCUGCGUGGUCCUGCCCUGCCCGGUCGUAGGUCGCGAUCCCGCGGGCAGAUGGACCAUGGCUGUGGGGCCGGGGCUGCGAGAUACCUCGAAGAGGGAGAGGACGACGAGGAGGAGAAGGAGAGAGAGGGCAGCGCUGCGGGUUUGCUGGGGUCCAAGCUGCCCCCCAUCGCCGGUGACCCCUUAGAGCUAGCCAGACGAAAGGCGAAGAGGAAAAAGAAGAAGACAAAAGGGUCAGGCAAGGGAGACGCAGAUAAACAUCAAAGUCGAAGCCUAAAGCGUCAGCCAUUUUCUUCAUCUUUCCAAGACAUCAGUAGUUCCAGCAAAGACCACGGCCUGAGGCCAGAGCCCAAACAAGACAAGGACAGUCACAAGCACAUCUUUGCCUCUGCCUGCACCACAAGCCUCCCCCACUUGGCUGAAGUAGAAGAGAAACUAUCAAACCAGAUCAACGAAAGUCUGCGUUGGGAUGGAAUUCUCGUUGACCCGGAAGCAGAAAAAGAAAGGAUUCGCAUAUACAAACUGAACCGGAGGAAGCGAUACCAGAACUUGACCCUCAAGGGCUUCCACUCCGAUCCGUGCAGUCAGGGGAGCCCUGAGAGCUCACCCCAUCAUCUCCCAGACAAAGACUGCUGCCCUAAAAGGAGGCAGCCCACUGACCACGCACCCUCACCACUGCUCUGAGGAAAAACCCUGAGGCAAAGCUCCUGCACUCUGAUUUACCUCCUGCUCUGACAGAGUGAAGUCUACCCACAGUGCUGACAAGCUCACCCUUUCUCCUUGCCACAAGUUUAUGUGUUAAAAAAGAAUAAUAAAAGGAAACCAGAGCUGUAUCUGAAGGAAGCAGACGUCUGGUGUACACAUGAGGCCAACCUCUCCUGCACUGAGAUGCCCUUAAGUGCUCAGGAGAGUCCCAUUCCUUAAGAAACCAGCAACUUCAUGAACACAGUGCUUCGCACAACUGUCUUUUUUCUGAAAUAUGCUAGUGUCUCUCUUUGUUAUUUAAGUUCUCAUCACAGACAGAUCUCUGUAUAAUCUGCCCCUGAAAAAAAAAAAGUGUGUGGACUAUUUAAAUUCUAAGACUGAAACUAAUUUCAUGGAUACAGCUUGCAUAAUACAUGCAUCUGUUAGGCCCAAGAAAAUGCCCUGAAUAUUCUGGAGACUUUUUCUUAAUUACACUGUUUAUCCUUAUGUGGCUUGCAAAAUCAAGAGGCCUUGUCAUCUUGGUUUUGCAUCCAGAAGUAGACCCGAGGCAAGCACUCAAAUGCAAGGAGAUUUUUUGGGAGGUAAAGGGAAGAACGGAGGAAGGAGAGACAGCCAGCUAGGGGACAGUAAGUAUUAAGCCACCCUUCUUGCUGGGCAGCUGGAGUUUGAUCCCACAGGAUGCACUGGGAAACAAUUCAGGCCCAAAUCUCAAAACAGUGGCACCUGAGGUGAGUAUGUAAGGGCUGGGUACUGACACUCCCCAGGGUGUGUCUUGGCCAAUGGUGAUAAUUUUCUGGCAUUUCUAGCCUGCCACCCUGUGAGGGCCUGGAAGGCUACUUCAGCUAUGGGGGAAGUCAUCCGUACCACAAAAAUGCAGCCCGAUAAGUCCGGAGGGGAAAAGUGGUCUCUGGGUUAGCAUCAGUUACCUUUGAGGGUCAGGGUGGAGGUCUAAAAUGAGGUCCCUGGCUCCCCAGGGGUAAAGAUGUUCUUGGAUAGGUGGGACACACUGUCCCUGGGAGAAAUUAAAAGCCAAUACAGAUCGACAUAAUGCUUGUCUGGAAGCUAAGUGGAAGUAGCCCCUCUUAUCUGCCACCCCAUGGCUAACAGAUCAGCCCUCCUUUUACCUUUCCUUAAAAAGGCCUGUUGCAGAGUUCCCACAUUUUGCCAUUGAGCCCUGGCAAAAUAUCUUGCAGGGACUUUUGACAGAGUCCUCUCCUUCCCUGGAGAAUGGUUAGCAGUCAGGUCUGGCAGGGACCCUGAAGCAGAGCAGAGCAACGAGCAGCUGGGCUGGCAUCUGAGAUGCCUCCGGAGCAACUGUAGUGGCUGGAGGCUCUGAGCAUGCACUGGGUUCAGAGUGCCUUGGGAGCUUAGCAAAAUCCUCUGUGGGUACUGAGGG